rnacentral:rRNA from 1 species
GCCAGACUCCUACGGGAGGCAGCAGUGAGGAAUAUUGGUCAAUGGCCGGAAGGCUGAACCAGCCAAGCCGCGUGAAGGACGAAGGUGCCAAGCAUUGUAAACUUCUUCUGUCAAGGGACAAAAUCAGGCUCGAGAGCCUGACCGAGGGUACUUGAAGAAAAAGCAUCGGCUAACUCCGUGCCAGCAGCCGCGGUAAUACGGAGGAUGCGAGCGUUAUCCGGAUUUAUUGGGUUUAAAGGGAGCGUAGAUGGGUUGUUAAGUCAGUUGUGAAAGUUUGCGGCUCAACCGUAAAAUUGCAAUUGAUACUGGCAGUCUUGAGUACAGUUGAGGUAGGCGGAAUUCGUGGUGUAGCGGUGAAAUGCUUAGAUAUUGCGCAGAACUCCGAUUGCGAAGGCAGCAUACCGGCGGCGAUCUGACGCUGAGGCACGAAAGCGUGGGUAUCGAACAGGAUUAGAUACCCGCGUAC